rnacentral:rRNA from 1 species
UACGAAGGGGGCUAGCGUUGUUCGGAAUUACUGGGCGUAAAGCGUGCGCAGGCGGCUUCUCAAGUCAGGGGUGAAAGCCCAGAGCUCAACUCUGGAAUUGCCUUUGAGACUGAGUGGCUUGAGUACGAGAGAGGUGAGUGGAAUUCCCAGUGUAGAGGUGAAAUUCGUAGAUAUUGGGAAGAACACCGGUGGCGAAGGCGGCGAACCUGGUCCUUGACUGACGCUGAGGCGCGAAAGCGUGGGGAGCAAACAGG